AACAUUAAUUUCAUUUUUGUACCUUAUUUUUCCCACUUGAUCAAAAUGGCACUACAGUAACACCUAUCCUUCUGUGCUGAGGCAGAGAGGUAUUGCCACGUAAGUGUGCUCUGCCUACCAGGGCUGUAAGAACCAUCCCGGGCCAAAAGCAGAGUGUCUUCCUUCACUGGCUAUGGUCAGCACUGAGUGGGGCAAGCUGGGGCCACAUGCACUAUUAUCCCUCAGCCCGUGCCUCUCCCAGGUAGUAUGAAUGGAAAGAAGAUCCAGAAGGAAGCUCAGCAUACAGCCAUGCCUUCCUGCUCUGUCUCGGCCCACCCAGUCAAAGAUGCAAGCUUGUCCCUUGCUUUCUCCUUUCUCUCCUCUUGGUGAGGUGUGGCCCAAUCCUUGGAGCUUCGCUGUUGUCUCCACCGGUGCACAUCUCUCCACUGGCUCCACAUCUCUCUCCAAAGAAUGCAGAGCCACUAAUCCUACCUGGAACUUCCCAGCCAGACAAGAAAGGCUGCUUCCUGGUCUGGUGUUUGGCCUUUCCCAAACACCCCCUUCCUUGGGAUCCUGACCAUGAAAACCCACCAUGGACAAGGACACACCCUAUUCUCUCCCCAGAAGGUCACCUGCUGAACAUCACUACCACGGAUCUGCCUCAUCAGGAGAAAGGGGACUUUGGCCAUGUGGCCUCGCCACUCAUGUUAGGACUUCUACAGCAAGCCCCAUGCCAUGCAUAAGUGUCUUACAGAUGGACUUUUAGCACAACCCACCUAUGCAUGGGGAACGCAGUAAAAGAGGCAGCGAAGAGCCAGCCUGUGCAAAGCUUUGAAUGACUGUAGGGUCACACCAAGACAACAACAGAACAAAGAAUCCAACGUUUAUAACAAACUUGCUUAACUCUUACUGACGCUGAAUGUUACAUUAUUAAGGAUAAUUUCAGACUCAUAACUAGGCAAUCAUCACUCUUUUUGUAAAUCCCAUAUUUAGAUGGCAAAUAAACAGCCAAAAGUUAAGGCAUUCAAAGGGCACUUGAAAACCAUUCCUUUAUGUGAAAACUGGGGUGCUGUGAUAAAAGGUAACUAGGAUCUUAGCAGUGCAAUCUGCAGAAUCAUUUAUACCACCAAGGCUACGUAAGGCACACCGCUAAGAUAUAUCUUCGGUUUAUUCUUUUUCUUAUGAGUACUAGAGUUAAAUAAAACACUAUCUAAAUACUCGGGGCAAUGGUGUUAACAUUAUUCUUGUUGAAACUAGUUACCAGAAUAAAGAAAAAAUAUCAAAAAAA
rnacentral:lncRNA from 1 species